rnacentral:lncRNA from 1 species
CUUUGGAUUUAUCAGAUUCCUGAAGAUGUUCCUCUUUAUGUUUCCCUACAUUUUGUGGUCACAAAUAAACAGAAGUUGAAUUAAUUCAAAGGAUUAUUAAAAUGAUACUUUGAUUAAAAUCAAAUGACACAAGCCCCGCAAAUGGGUGUAAGCAUGCAAUCUGUUUUCAGCAGCAUAAUCUUCAAAGCUGAGUUUUUUAAUUACAAUAGAUGCUUUAUCAAUCUUUUAAAAUACAAUAAUUCGAGAAUUGGGUGAGAAUCACCCAAUAAACCCUUAUGCAUCGAUUCUUCAUUUUAACCAUCGACGAAAAACAACAGACGAACAAACAAUUGGGGUUGAAGAGCUAGGCCUGACCUGUUCCGGAAGAUGUCGUUGAUUCACCGAAGUUGCUGUCCCGCUGUGUUCAGAUGUCCGAUGGGCGCCCGUCAAUUGCACUUGAAAUUUUUCUCCCCCAAAACUGUAGACGCAAAUGGUAUGGGAAACGAUGGAGGCGGUGAGAAACUAGGGCAGAAUUCUCAUCGAAAUUCGCGAGAAGGGUAGCAAAAAUGUAAUCUAGAUUCGCAGGAUAAAAGUUAUCGGAUGGGGGAGGAGGUAUUAUUAGACGGGGUUAUUCCUGCAAAUUAAGACCGGGCCCUUUAUUAAACCUGGGCCAUCCGCAUAAGCCUAAUAGGAUAGCAAACACAGCAUAAAUCUGGAAUAAAUUAACUUAUACAGGCUAUAACCCAAUAUCAAACAGGCCCU